UGCUCAGUUCCACUGUUUUGUGGUGGAGGCGGAAAAGACAGAUAUCUCAAGGCCUUUUACAAAUAUAACCAAAACUAUCUGCGUGGCUACAAACCACUAGAACAGAGACAUGGAGGCCUGUCUCAGAGUCAUGGGAAGAAUGCCUGAGGUGCAGAACGAAGAUACAGCUCCUGCUGAUGAGAAGAGAGGGAGUGAAGUCCGGAUCAGUGAGAACCAGAAGAAAUGACUGCAGUGUGCUACCUUCACCAGACUACAGGAAGUGAAAUUUGAAAAUGAACAUGCUCUGAGAUGUUGAAAACCUAAAGGAGUACCAGUCUGAACUGUGUGGGUGUUUGUUAAGGACUGGGAACUCCUCCAAAACAAUGAGUAAGGUGUCACAAAUAACAAAAGAAGAGACCAGACACCUGGCAGGACCACCCGGAGCCAAACCAUGCAUUGGUAGGACUGACGAGUACAGGCAGUGGGUGAGGGAGCAUUCAGAUCCUUUACUCAAGUGAAAGUAGAAAUACUACACUAUGAAAAUACUCAAUUAAAAGAAUAAAACCUGCUUUGACAUCCAGUAAGUAUUAUCAGCAAAAUAUAA